rnacentral:rRNA from 1 species
CCUACGGGAUGCACCAGUGGGGAAUAUUGGACAAUGGGCGCAAGCCUGAUCCAGCAAUGCCGCGUGUGUGAAGAAGGCCUUCGGGUUGUAAAGCACUUUUAUCAGGAACGAAAUACCACGGGUUAAUACCCUAUGGGGCUGACGGUACCUGAGGAAUAAGCACCGGCUAACUUCGUGCCAGCAGCCGCGGUAAUACGAAGGGUGCAAGCGUUAAUCGGAAUUACUGGGCGUAAAGCGUGCGUAGGCGGUUUGUUAAGUCUGCUGUGAAAGCCCUGGGCUCAACCUGGGAAUGGCAGUGGAAACUACCGAGCUAGAGUGUGUCAGAGGGAGGUGGAAUUCCGCGUGUAGCGGUGAAAUGCGUAGAGAUCUGGAGGAAUACCGGUGGCGAAGGCGGCCCCCUGGACGAAGACUGACGCUCAGGUGCGAAAGCGUGGGGAGCAAACAGGAUUAGAUACCCGCGUAGUC